AUAUCUCUCUGUACGGGAAGGAUGAGAAGCUUCGACCAAGGGUUGAUUCGAGCGUCAGCGAGAAAGCGUUGCCGCAGGCAACGACCCGAAGGGCGAAGCGCGCAGCGCUGAGUCAUCCUUCCCCCACCACCA
rnacentral:sRNA from 1 species